UACGUAGGAGACGAGCGUUUGUCCGGAGUUACUGGGCGUAAAGGGUGCGCAGGCGGCCUUGCGCGUCGCGAGUGAAAUCUCCCGGCUCAACUGGGAGGGUGGUCGCGAGACGGCAGGGCUUGAGGCUCGGUGAGGGCGUGGAAUUCCGGGUGGAGCGGUGAAAUGCGUAGAGAUCCGGAGGAACACCGACGGCGUAGGCAGCGCCCUAGACGAGACCUGACGCUCAGGCACGAAAGCGCGGGGAGCGAACAG
rnacentral:rRNA from 1 species